UGGGUCCUUUCUCAGUGCUGUCGUGUGCGGGAGCGUGUUCCCAACUGCUCCGGCCUGAGGCUGCCCGAGGGUGGCUCCGCAGGUUGCUCUGUCCACCGAUUCAUGAUUUUCUGCCGUUUCUUGGCAAAAAUGGCAACUAAUGGUGCUGUUCUGAAGAGACUGGAACAGAAGGGUGCAGAAGCAGAUCAAAUUAUUGACUAUCUAAAGCAGCAAGUUGCUCUUCUUAAGGAGAAAGCAAUUUUGCAGGCAACUUUGAGAGAAGAGAAGAAACUUCGAGUUGAAAAUGCUAAAUUAAAGAAAGAAAUUGAAGAAUUGAAACAAGAGCUAAUUCAGGCAGAAAUUCAAAAUGGAGUGAAACAAAUACCAUUUCCAUCUGGUACUCUGCUGCAAGCUAAUUCCACAGUUUCUGAAAAUGUGACACAGUCUAGACCAAUAACAACUAUAGCUUCUGGUGCCAAAGAACAGAUAGGAGGAGCAGAAGAAAAGAAGAUGAAAGAGAAAAUUGAAGUGAAAGGAGAGAAAAAGGAGAAAAAACAGCAGUCAGUAGCAGGAAGCGCUGACUCUAAGCCAUUAGAUGUUUCUCGUCUGGAUCUUCGAGUUGGUUGUAUCAUCACUGCCAGAAAACACCCUGAUGCAGAUUCUUUAUAUGUGGAAGAAGUAGAUAUUGGAGAAACAGCCCCAAGAACAGUUGUCAGUGGCCUGGUGAAUCAUGUUCCUCUUGAACAGAUGCAAAAUCGGAUGGUGAUUUUACUUUGUAACCUGAAACCUGCAAAGAUGAGGGGAGUAAUAUCUCAAGCAAUGGUAAUGUGUGCUAGUUCACCUGAGAAGGUUGAAAUCUUGGCACCUCCUAAUGGGUCUGUUCCUGGAGACAGAAUUGUUUUUGAUGCUUUUCCUGCCGACAGCCGGAGCCAGCCAUCAGAGGUUUAACUGGACUGUGUGCAGCUGACAGACCACAGAACGGUUAACCUUCAGGUCACCUGAGCAUUUAGGCUGCUGUUCUGUUUACAGCUCCCAAAAUGUCUUCUUUUCCCAGAGGCUACAUCAUCCUGGCUUUUUGACGUAUUGGAAGGACGGAGUGUUACAAAGAACUUGCUAUAUAGAAAAUAUUGGGAGAUGGACAGAAAAAGCUAAGAUGAAAAAGACGUGAUGCACUCCUUCAAAGAAACUCACCAUCUUAUAGGAAACAUUCAUUCUUUCUUUC